AGUGUGAACCGGCGGCAGAUACCCGCAGGGAAGCUGAGCUGCGGGAGACCAGCUGGUCCAGUUCUCAGCUUUGAGAGCUGAAUCUGUCAGGCUCCGGGGAAGAGGUGCCAGGAAGAGACACAUUAAGGGACAACUGGCCUCUAUACUUCCAACGACAAUGCACUGAUUUGAAGACUUUGACUCAGUGUUCAUGACCCCAUUCUUACACGAGGUUGCAAAAAGAGCAGAGCACCGGGUCAGCUGGCCCCUCUCCUCCCUCAGUGUGUGCUCCGAGGGUCCACAGCUCUGGACACUGCCCAUGGCCUCUGAUCAUAAUGUGAGACCCCGGUGAUGGACAAGAGAAGAACAACACGACAAUAUGAACAGCUUCAAUUAGAAGAUCUUUAAGGGCCCUUCUAAGCCUAAGACUGUAUCUGAAUGCACCAUCUCAUACUUCCCUACCCAUUCUUGUAGCCCAAAGAAGGGAACCUGGGAGAGAGCAAGACCAAGGUAAUUUAAUCAGGUUGGGAUGCAAAGGGAAGACCCUAACGCUUGGGGAAAGCAGCCACUCCAACCAGCUAGCCUUCCAUCUAGGACCUAGAGAUGGAGCUCAGAAAAACUGGGGAUUGGUGUAUGCACACAGGGGUAUAUGGAAUGACCAGCCAACAGGGACCUGCUGAAUAGCACAGGGAACUACCCAAUAUUCUGUGAUAAUUUAUUUGGGAAAAAGAAUCUGAAAAAGAAUGGUUUGGGGUAUAUGCAUAACAGAAUCAUUUUGCUGUAGAGCAGAAAUUAUCAUAAUGUUGUAAAUCAACUAUACAUCAGUAAAACUUUUAAAAAUGAAAAAAAAAUGGAUUAUGUACAUUCUAAACCUAAAGCAUGGAGGCACAAAAUAGACCAUUCUUAACACAUUUGCCCUAGACAACUCCAAGAAGGCGACACAGAACUCAAGGCUGGCCAGAGACUGUAUGAUUGCGAAUGGCUAGUAACAAGGUGCUGCUCAAGGAUCUCAGCAGGAUGUCCCUGUGCCUACCCAGGGAGGCUCCACCCCACAGGCCAGCCAUGAACCCUUGGGCACAAGAAAGAGGAAAGCCUAGGUUGUCAGAGUACUUCCCACCAGGCUUGGUCAAUGUUCUCUCAGACACAACAUACACCUGCUCUUCACGGUGAUAUAGUCUUAUACCCAGGAAAUCUACCAGUCCCAAGUUUUCCCCAAAGCAUCACUGCCUUAAGAGAUCAUGUGUGUUCUACAACCUGCGUGAGGAGUCCCAGCCCUCCACCUCCAGGACUUUCAUUCAGGCUUCAAAAUAUUCUCACUUGGGGAUGGGGAGACAAUGAUGACAGAUAACAAUGACCUGGUCCCACCCUCUAGGAUCCCAUAAGUGAUUUUAAUCUAGGAGCUACUCUGAGAGAUGUACAGGAAAAGAAGGAAUCGGUCUUAUUGCCCACCACAUGAGGUAUCAAUUUUCCAAGUUCACUCCAAGACCGUGACUCUGGAAAUGAAGAUCCAGCUUUAAUUACAAGUUGUGCAGCUUACCUGCUUCAAAACCCUGAGAAAAUGACUUAACAUCUCCAUCUUCCACUUCCUCAUUACAAACUGGGGGCAACAAGAAAUGCUGUUGGGAACGAUGAACUGAGACGUCAUGGUACAAGGUGCUGUCCCCUUCCUUCCUCUGUCCCAUUAGUUAUAAUUCUUGACUGUCUUGUCUGGAUUGCCUCCCUCUUCUCAAAUACCCUUUCUUUAGCUUUUCCUCCCCCUCCACAGCCAUCUCUCCAUUCUAGCCCACACCCACCCCUCCUCAGCAAGGGUCUCUCCAGGACCCCUUAUACUUAUAAUCUAUUAUCAACAAAAAUACUCUGGACUUUGUCCAAGGGCUUUUCUUCAAAUCAGAGAUGUCCCUCUGACAUCUAUUAUUUCACUUUACUUCUAUAAAUCAGAUGCAGCCUCUUGAUAAGUGUGAAUAAUGUCUCUCAACCAGGUUUUUAAUUUAAAAAUAAGGAGGGAAACAAUCAAAGGAAGUGAUAGCUUUUUAAGGGACAGGAAGGACAAGGUUAAGCCAUUCAAAAUGAUUAAAGACAGGACAUCUUUUUCUUCUUUUAAACUAGGUAUGUCAUUUGCAUUUAUGUAAACCUUUAAGAAGAUGAGUACAUUCUCUUUCCAAAAAAAAACGUUUUGACUGAUUUAAUUCUGCAAAGAACUGUGACUCAAGCAUUACUCAUGCCUCUAAUUGAAUACCACUCUUUGACCCCCACAGACAAACUGGUGAUGCUCAUACAUUAUUUCAUUCAUAAAGUGUUUCUGGGAUACAUAUGAUAAAUGCCAAAAAAAAUUCUCCUGUUGGCUCAGAAACAAAUACAAUUAAAUCCCACAUCCUACUGUGGCUCUGCUCACAGCUUCCCUAAAGGUACCUAGACCAACUAGCCCACAUAUUAAACACUAAGGGAUAUUAGGUGGAGUAAGGCAGUGAAAUAGCCAUUAGGAUAGCAUGGCCUUUACGCACUACUCUUUCAUAUAUAGUCCCUACAAUGUCCCAAACCGUAUUAAUUCACAUCUAUAUGGGCACAUCUUCUGGAAGUGGUUUCCACAUGCUAUCUUCUAGUGUUCCUGACUAUGAUCAGCUCCCUCUUACUUUUUCACCCCUUACAAGUAACUACUUCAUUCCUCCUUUCAGCACCUCCCAAGGAGGUGGAAGAAAGGGUUUUGCAAGGUCAGGACGGUGUGGCAAGGCCCACUCUGCAGAAGUAGCAAACAUUUAGCUCCUAACUCUCUACCUCUUUAAGCAGGCAACAGCAACAUACCUUGAGUCCUUAGGGAAAACCACCCUGAGUUCUUUUCCAGACAUUGCAUCCUUUCUGAGCUUUGCCCUGUGCUCAUUUGUCUAUCUCCCCCACACAUUGCUUCUAACCAUCAUAAUAAGGCUAUAUAGUACUAUAAUAUAGUACUAAAGCCUUCUAUUUCCUUCUUCAGCUAAGGAGCCUGCCUGAAGAUUGCUAGUUCCCUCCUCAUCGUUUUCCUGUCCUCUAGGGAAGAAUUGAGAUAAUCCAGGUAGUGACUGAGCCUGAAAUCAAGCCUGAGAAGGACAAAUACAGAUCAAAUCUCACUUUAAUCCUAUCCAUCCCAGGUCUAGCUCUGUCCCAUGGGCUUACUCAGCCCACUGAAGCCUCCCCCAGAUAGACGUAGAACCAAUCGAUCCUCACAAUGGGCUGGACUUCCAAUGAGUAGUCAAGGUCACAGAAGAGUCCACACAGAGGUCAACUUCCUAAGGGAGUCUGAGGGAUGCUGAAGAAUAUGAGCCAGAAGCUCCCUUUCCUGGUCACCUCUAUCUCCCAUCUUUCUCAACUUCCUCUAGGAAACUGUCUAGAAAGUUCUAGAGAGUAUGUCAUCAAGGAUAUGAAUGCUCUGUUUGGUCAAAAAGGAUGAGGAAGCUGGCAGUGUCUAACAAAAGAUGCCACCCAAUCUUUCUGGGAAUUUGCUGGAAAAAAAAAAAAAUCUCUCUGCUAUACCCACGUUCCUCCAAAAUGAAUUCAUUUCUGAUGUUUCCUCUCUAGUUCAAUGCCUUUAUCCUCUUUAAAAUCCAGGUUUGGGGGUUCCUAUCCAGGCCCAGCAGUAACAAAACUGACCAGUAUCCAUGAGGGCUAGGGUUUGAUCCCUGGCCUCGCUCAGUGUGUUAAGGAUCCCGCGUUGCUGUGGCUGUGGUGUACGUUACAGAUGCGGCUCAGAUCUAGCAUUGCUGUGGCUGUGGCAUAGGCUGGCAGCUGUAGCUCCAAUUCGACCUGGGAACUUCCAUAUGCUUCCAAGCUUUUUAGAUAAGGCUCUAAAAAGACAAAAUAAAAUAAAGUAAAAUAAAAUAAAAUAAAACACAAGCUCUUUUUACCUCCACUGCAACCCUGAGCCAUCACUUCUUGUGUGUUCAAAACAAAAUUCCCAGGCCUGAUUUCUUACUCUUUCUUCUUGCCAUCUCCAUCAGUUUCUCCUCCUUCCUCAGGGUACAUCAAUCUUGGUUAUUUCCUAAUUUAAAAUGCCUCUCCCAGAGUUCCUCCUGUGGUGCCAUGGGCUAAGAAUCCAGUGUUGUUUCUAUAUCAGCUCAGGUUCGAUCCCUGGCCUGGCACAGUGGGUUAAGGAUCUAGCAUUAUAUCCUUGUCACAGCUGUGGCAUAGGUUGGAUCCCUCGCCUAGGAACUUUCAUAUGCUACAGAUGCAGCCAAAACAGGGAAUGAUUAUACAAUCUCUUGGGAUAGAACAUGAUGGAAGAUAAUAUGAGAAAAAGAAUGCAUAUAUAUGUAUGACUGGGUCACUUUGCUGUACAGCAGAAAUUGGUACAACAUUGUAAAUCAACUAUACUUUAA
rnacentral:lncRNA from 1 species